GCCUUCAGCACCAGGGCUGGGAGCAGGACCCAGAGGGUGUAAGUGGGUCUCAGGGGAAGGUGAAGCAUCCAUCGUGACAUACCGUGGCAUCACAAGGGCUGCCGCAUGGUGCUGCUGGCAGGGCUGCUCAGCCACCAGGAGAGCAAAGGGAUGGGAAGAGAGGGAUGCAAGAGGAACCCUCAGAGGGAAGUUCAGGAGAUUUUGGAAAGUGCUGUGUUUUCACAGUUCAAAUAGGCCUGAAGUGAACAGUGAAAGGAGGGGGCAGGGCUGGGUAGCAGCUGCCAAGAGAGUGAAUGUCCUUGCUCCCUUUCCCUUAGUCUGCCUUUGUCACCUGCCCACAAUUAGGCACAAUUUAUCACCCCAGGAUCCUGCAAUAAGUCACUGACUGCCUAAGACUGCCCAGCCCCUCCCCAGCAGGCAAGUCUCCUUUUUCCCAUGGGCCAGCAGCUAACCCAGUGCCUACCCUUUGUGUGAGUUCAGGGUGGAGGGAAUUGCUCCUUCCCCACUGCCCGAGCUCCCAAGCCAGGUGAGACCAGCUGUCCUCACUGCCCUACUGAUCCGGUUUUGUGGUUCCCCAGGCAAUGGAGGUAGGAGCGGGGGUUGCUUCUUAUUGGGCCCUGAAAGGACUAGGCUGGGUUUUUCAGGCCUCUGUGCACCCACAUGAGUCUGCCUGUUCAGGCUCCUGUGGCAGGAAUCAAGCCAUCCUGAGAAACAAAAGGGAUGGGAUUCGCUGCAGGCCUCUCACUGUACCUUGAUGCCAAUGGAUCUGUCACAUCCCAUCUCUGUGCCUUGUACCCAAGGAGGUGAUGGACUCUUCCAAGGGUGCACAGGGUGAUGGCUGGGCCAAUUCGGUGCACAAGUGAGCAGAACUCCCCCCAAAUUAAUGCUCUCUGUGCCACACCUCUGACACAGCCCUCAUUCUUCCCAGAGCCUGCUCCUCUGCUGGCACAAAAUUGCCUUUUGCCUGCAGGAAGAAGACUUGAGCUGCCUCUGUUAUCACUACAAACACCAUGGCAGCAGGGGAGGAUGGCUGGUAGCUGUGGCAACGCGGGUAAGCAACUUGUGUUGCACGGUGCGACCAGCAGCCAACACAUCCCACCAGGUAGACACUGGGGCGGUGACUCACAGGGGUGUCAUAGCCAAAGGAGUUGAAGCUGGCAUGUGGGAAGUGCCCACGGUGCUCGGCAAAGCCUUGCUGAUUGAUGGAAUGGGUUCUCUUCUGCUGAUUGUAUUUACAGCUGCCUCCAGGGAGCAUGCCCACAACUCUGGCUUUGGUGGCUUUUUGCUGCCCUGUCUCUUUCCAGCGGUCACGUGGCAGACACAGGCUGCGGUUAGUGUCCUGACCAAGAACUUGGAACGCCUUCUUCCUCCAUGAGCUGUCAGGCUGCGGGUGGCCUUUGGUUUUCAUGAAGCUGUAUGUGCCCAAUCCCAACCAAUCCCAUCCAUCUCCCCCUAGCCGAGGUUGCUACCAGUGGCCAUAACCACUAUGGUGGCACUUCUGCAAAUUUGGGUCCUCAGUGUGAAACACAGAAGUCCCCCAAGUGCUCCCAACAGCCACUAGUGCCUCAGGAAAAGCAAGAGAGGAUACUCAGAAGAAUGUAUGAAGACCACUGUUAAAAGAUUGUUAGCACCCUGUCCAACAAGCUUUCCUUCACCAACACAAGUUCAUUAGGACUAGAUGACCUUUAGAGGUCCCUUCCAAGUUCAAGGAUUGUGUCUCUGCCCUUGGCUAGUGGCCUGGAGAACCCAAAUGGUGCGAGUAAGGGGCUGGUCUCCACUGCAUGUAGUUCAGGUAGCCAAUCUCCAAAUCCCAUUCCUUUGCAUUCAUGGAGAAUUAAGCUAUCAUUCCUGGGGUUUGAUGCCACCAGUUGGAGGCCGUCAUCCCUCACUUUGCCUAUGACAUGGCAGAGAGGAGAGCAGUCACCAUUCAACCUAAGAGCCAGGACAGGGACAAAGGCCCUUCCAGAGCUGCCACACAGCCUUCACACAGCCCCCUGGGUGUCUGGUUACUGCCUGCUUUGAAACAAUCCCUGCACUGAUGCCCAGGGCUGGCAGGAGCAGAAUGCUGUGAGAUGCAGUGCCAAGUUUUGGGACCAGACUGGUGGCUGGGCUGGCUCUGUUUAUCCGAUCUACACAGAGGCACCAUCUUGGAUUGCAGCUCCUUCUGCUCAGUGCAAGACGCCCUUCCCCUUGGGGACUGCAUCGUUCCCAAGCCUGUGGCACUGGGUCAACAUGGCUGGGUUUGUACAAGUGCAGCUCAGAGACUGAAAAACUAUGGGCUGCAGGAUGGGCUCACUGGGGACGGAGGGGACUCCCCACCCUCAUGGAGAGCUGCUCAAGCAGCCCUGAAAAGCAGACUGGCCACUCUUCUGUGAAUGAACCUGAAAUGACCAGUGGUGGCAAGAGAGAGAUGCUCCAUCUUCAGCCCAUGGUGAUGUGGUGGACAAAACUGGAAAUAGACUUCCUAGAAGAAAACACAAUAUGAGGAAAUCACAACCUUGAUCUUCUCGCAAUGUCUGCUCAAGGACGAGCAGAAGCUGUUGGUGUCCCUAUUCAUUGCAGGGGAGCUGGACCAGAUGGCCUUUAUGGAGCCCUUCCAGCUCAAACCAUUCUAUGAUUCUAUGGAUCUCAGAGCUCUUUGUGUCAAUGGGCAGCUCAGAUCCACCUCCCUUUCCAAAUGCACCUUGCCCAGAAGCUCCUUUUGUCCUGGAGGGUUAGCAUAUACACUACUGAACAUACUCAUUUUGGGAGAUCCCCCAUCUCAGAGGGAUCAAUAUUAUAUAGUAUCUUUGGUGGCUGCGAUCAUAGAAAUUAUGCUAGAUCACAUCUGGAGCAGCAGAAAUGUUGGACUCAAUGGUCCUUAUGGGUCCCUUCCAAAUCUGGAUAUUCUAUGAUUCCGUGAUUCCGUGAGUCUAAGAGUCUUUUAUGGGCUGCUUUCAGCCUGGAGGAGCAAGUGGGCUUGCCACUUCUCCAGGCACAUUCUGCAGUGUCAUAACAACAUACGGUUUUUGAAUUAGUGAGACCGUCACUCCUGGGAUGUGGCAUAUAUCUAUCUGAUACAACCAUUGCUGGGUUAUAUCAGAAGAAUUAGAACAUACAAACAGUCCAGCUCUGCCCUAAUGGAUAUGAGACCCUUCUCUAUGUGCCAUGAGUCUAAGAAGGUCACAGCACUAUGAGGAUAAAAGGCCAGAGUGGUCAGAUGGAACAUUGUGUCGGUACGUCUUUGUACCUUAAAUGUCCUUCCUCUGAUAUGAGAGGGUUCAGACAAGCAUCAGGGCAGGAACUCUGCAUUUGACAUUGAUGUGACUUAAACUCUGCAUUCAGUCAAGUUGGCCACCCCUCUGAUCAGCUGCCCAGCAGAAGGGCUGAGACCUUCUAAAUGUCUGCCCUGUGAAACUGAGAAUACGUGGGGAACUAAGAGAUGAAGCCUCCUUCCUAUCCCAGCCCAACCCAUUUCACCUAUCCCUACUGUAUGGGAACUGCUGAGUCACGGCCUGAACCACUGAUUGAGCACCUGGAGGAAAGACCCAGUCAGCCCUGGGAGCACAGGUGG